rnacentral:rRNA from 1 species
CAGUCGAACGAAGCGAUGGAGAACGGAGAUUUCGGUUGAAGUUUUCUAUUGACCCAGUGGCGGACGGGUGAGUAACGCGUGGGUAACCUGCCCUAUACAGGGGGAUAACAGUUAGAAAUGACUGCUAAUACCGCAUAAGCGCACAGCUUCGCAUGAAGUGGUGUGAAAAACUGAGGUGGUAUAGGAUGGACCCGCGUUGGAUUAGCUAGUUGGUGAGGUAACGGCCCACCAAGGCGACGAUCCAUAGCCGGCCUGAGAGGGUGAACGGCCACAUUGGGACUGAGACACGGCCCAAACUCCUACGGGAGGCAGCAGUGGGGAAUAUUGCACAAUGGGGGAAACCCUGAUGCAGCGACGCCGCGUGAAGGAAGAAGUAUCUCGGUAUGUAAACUUCUAUCAGCAGGGAAGAAAGUGACGGUACCUGACUAAGAAGCCCCGGCUAAUUACGUGCCAGCAGCCGCGGUAAUACGUAAGGGGCAAGCGUUAUCCGGAUUUACUGGGUGUAAAGGGAGCGUAGACGGUUUGGCAAGUCUGAUGUGAAAGGCAUGGGCUCAACCUGUGGACUGCAUUGGAAACUGUCAGACUUGAGUGCCGGAGAGGCAAGCGGAAUUCCUAGUGUAGCGGUGAAAUGCGUAGAUAUUAGGAGGAACACCAGUGGCGAAGGCGGCCUGCUGGACGGUAACUGACGUUGAGGCUCGAAAGCGUGGGGAGCAAACAGGAUUAGAUACCCUGGUAGUCCACGCUGUAAACGAUGAAUACUAGGUGUCGGG